rnacentral:rRNA from 1 species
CCGGAGCUAACGUGUUAAGCACACCGCCUGGGGAGUACGGUCGCAAGAUUAAAACUCAAAGGAAUUGACGGGGGCCCCGCACAAGCGGUGGAGCAUGUGGUUUAAUUCGACGCAACGCGCAGAACCUUACCAGCCCUUGACAUGAUGGUUUCGGUUCCGAGAGAUCGGUUCCUCAGUUCGGCUGGACCAUCACAGGUGCUGCAUGGCUGUCGUCAGCUCGUGUCGUGAGAUGUUGGGUUAAGUCCCGCAACGAGCGCAACCCUUGCCUUCAGUUGCCAUCGGGUAGGGCCGGGCACUCUGAAGGAACUGCCGGUGACAAGCCGGAGGAAGGUGGGGAUGACGUCAAGUCCUCAUGGCCCUUAUGGGCUGGGCUACACACGUGCUACAAUGGCGGUGACAAUGGGCAGCGAAGGAGCGAUCCGGAGCUAAUCCCCAAAAACCGUCUCAGUUCGGAUUGCACGCUGCAACUCGCGUGCAUGAAGGUGGAAUCGCUAGUAAUCGUGGAUCAGCAUGCCACGGUGAAUACGUUCCCGGGCCUUGUACACACCGCCCGUCACACCAUGGGAGUUGGUUUUACCCGAAGCCGGUGAGUUAACUUUCGAGAGACAGCCGUC